UACGAGUGCCCCCAAGCGUUAUCCGGAAUCAUUGGGCGUAAAGGGUGUGUAGGUGGCGAUGUUAGUCUUCUGUCAAACCCCCGGGCUUAACCCGGGAUCUGCAGGGAAACGGCAUCGCUCGAGGAUGCGAGGGGUGAAUGGAACUCAUGGAGUAGGGGUGAAAUCCGUUGAUAUCAUGGGGAACACCAAAAGCGAAGGCAAUUCACUGGC
rnacentral:rRNA from 1 species